UACCGGCGGCUCGAGUGGUGGCCACUAUUACUGGGCUUAAAGCGUCCGUAGCCGGGUUGUUAAGUCUCCCGGGAAAUCCAACGGCUCAACCGUUGGGCGUUCGGGGGAUACUGGCAAUCUAGGGAUCGGGGGAGGUGAGAGGUACUCUAGGGGUAGGAGUGAAAUCCUGUAAUCCUUGGGGGACCACCUGUGGCGAAGGCGUCUCACCAGAACGACUCCGACGGUGAGGGACGAAAGCUGGGGGA
rnacentral:rRNA from 1 species